UUAUUUGAGAGUUUGAUACUGGCUCAGGAUGAACGCUGGCGGCGUGCCUAACACAUGCAAGUUGAGCGAUUUACUUCGGUAAAGAGCGGCGGACGGGUGAGUAACGCGUGGGUAACCUACCCUGUACACACGGAUAACAUACCGAAAGGUAUGCUAAUACGGGAUAACAUAUUUGAGAGGCAUCCCUUAAAUAUCAAAGGUGAGCCAGUACAGGAUGGACCCGCGUCUGAUUAGCUAGUUGGUAAGGUAACGGCUUACCAAGGCGACGAUCAGUAGCCGACCUGAGAGGGUGAUCGGCCACAUUGGAACUGAGACACGGUCCAAACUCCUACGGGAGGCAGCAGUGGGGAAUAUUGCACAAUGGGCGAAAGCCUGAUGCAGCAACGCCGCGU
rnacentral:rRNA from 1 species